GGAGAAAGAAGUCAAGGGUAAGAGCCCACCCCUGUUGUGAGAUGGAAGGCACGCAAGAGCCAUGAGACAGUGAGCAUUGUUGAUGCCAGGCUAUGGCGAUGCCAUCUAGCUGGAAACGGAGCAGCCGUCACUGUCAGUGAGCUAAGUGUCUGGUUUGGUGAGGAGUCUGGUCACGGCCCACAUGGCUCCAGGCAGGGAUGCGCCGUUAGCUUGGUCUGUGUUUGUAAGAAAAGGUUCCCGUCUAGCUGUGGCUACGAGGGAGACAAGGUCCCCCGUUAUCAGGGGCUGCUCAUUUUGUCUGGCCAGGAGCGGUGUGUUCAUCGCAGCGAAAGGUUGCAUCUAGGAGGAUGACUCUAGCUGAGGAACAGUCGAGCAGCAGCCGAAGGAAAAGCUGGCAGAGGUGGACCUGAGCAGCCUGGACAUCCUUGUAAGCAGAGAUUAACAGUCCUCCGCUUUCUGCCAUCCGCAUAACUGACUGUGGGGUUCGGUUUGUAAUAAAAGUUUUCCUCCUUGUUCUGGGUGAGAGGGAGAAUUUCCCUAUAUUGGGAGCAGCUGAUCUUCCUGGACAGGGAGGAGCAUGUUCACCUGAGCAGAGGCCUGGAACCGGAAAGAGGAAUCGCCCAGGAGCCCCAGCCAGAGGAGAAACUGGAAGAAGUGAACCUGAGCAGCCUGGACAUCCUUGUAAGCAGAGAUGAACAGUCCUCUGCUUUCUGUCUUCUGCAUGACUGGCUCUGUGCUUGCAGAGGAAUUGGCCACGAGCCCAAGCCACACGAGAAGCUGGCACAAGUGGACCUGAGCAACCUGGAUAUCCUUCUAAGCAGAUAUGAACAGUCCUCAGG